rnacentral:lncRNA from 1 species
UUGGUUAUUGAUUUUACAUAUUUAAAAAUAGAAAAUCGAUAAACUGAACCAAUAACACAUAAAACCAAACUGAACCGACCGAUGCACACCCCUAAUAAUAUUUACUUGAGAUUGAUUAAUUUCUAUCUACUUGAAGUGAGAAAUAUAUGCAACAUUCAAAAUUUGUUUUUAAUCCUAAUUCAAGAAGGUAAUCCAAUGAAUAGUUCUUGUGAUCACAAACUAUUUGAGAAUUCACCUACAUUGAGGGAAAAAAUUAAAACUAGCUCGGGACAUUCCAGCACUGAGCCACAAGAAGCAGACAUCUUAGAAGAAAUUCUCAAAGAUUGUAGCAUUAGUCAAAGCAAACCGAUGUGUAGCUGGUUUUAUCUGCAAAUAUUAAUGAUGAAAUUAUAAUAAUAAUUGUUAUAAUAUUAGUAACAACAACAAUAAUAAGCUUCAUACUGAGCAUUUACUAUUAAUAUUUCAUUUUUGAUCAAAUCAUCCAUUGAACGUUUAUUUAAUUUUGAUGCAUUUCAUAAAUUUAAAAUAUUACUAAUUAAUUAUAAAUUGUAAAUUUUUGAGUGUAAGUAAUUCUUUAUCAAACAUAAAGUGGCAGCACAAAGCAUUGAUUUUAGAGUUUAACCAAAGUGUUACUAGCAUUCCAUGAAAUUGAGAGAAAUGAUUUUAACAGGAAAUUCAAUAGUUUCAAUUGUUGAUAUAAAUAAAUAUAGGUAGAAAGUUUUUAGCAAGGAAAACUAGUAUAACUUCUUUUUUAUGCAAUGCUUUAUUUGUCAGCAAGGGGAAAUGGAGAGCAUGAGGUGAGAUAGAAAAAUUAAACGAGCAUUCUUUCAUUUGAGUGUAUCGUGGUCUUUGAAUAUUUUAUUUUGAACUAUAAAGCAUAGGAUUUCUGCUAUAGUAAUAUCAGUUGCGCUUUGUUUUUCAUCUAUGUGAAUCACACUUUCUUCAAUAAUUUGUAUUGGUUCUGCUUAUUCACAAUAAUAUUUUGCAUAGUUAUUUGUAUUAUUUUUUGUGAAAAAACGAGAAGACAAAAAAUAAACAUAUUCUUAGAUCUAUAAAGGCAUAAUACAUAAAUAUAACCUUAAACUUGACAUCAAAUUAUAAAUUUGACCUUAAACUUUGAUAGUGCACAAAUAUGACUUUUAACUAUUUAAAACUGCACAAAUAUGACCUCUGAUCCUAUGUGACAAAACGCGUGUUGUACACGCAAAACUGCGCGCAUCGGGCUAAAAAUUUGAGUGUUCCAACAGGAAAAAAAAAAGAAAAUGACUAUUAUGCCCUUAGUAAUUCUUUUUUAUAUAUUUAAAUGACUUUUCACUAUUAGUUUUUGUUAUUUUCAGCUCAAAGAUGAAACUAUACUAAUAAUAAAUAAGAAAAUUAUAGUUUUAAUAAAACGUUAUUAAAUUAAAUUUAUUAAAUUAACGUUAUUGAAAAAAAUAUUAUUAAAUUAACAUUAUUAAAAUAUUAUUAAAUUAAAAUUAUUAAAACUUUAUUAAAUUAACGUUACUAAAACGUUGUUAAUAAAACGUUAUUAAGGGCAGUAGUAAUAUAUUAAAUUAACAUUAUUAAUAAAAGGUUGUUAAUGGCCGUAGUAGUAUAUUAAAUUAAUAUUAUUAUAUUAACGCUAUUAAAUUAACGUUAUUAAGAAAACGUUAUUAAGGACAUUAAUAGUAGUAUAUUAAAUUAACAUUAUUAAAAUGUUAAUAAGAUGAAAAUUUUAUUACAAUACUGUUUUUAUUAAUAAUAAUCAUAAUAAUAAUAAUAAUAAUAAUUAGUCGUAGUAAUAGUAGUGGUAUAUUGAUAGAAGCAAUAGUAGUAUGUAAUAUGUAGAAAUAGUAUAAUAAUAAUAAUAAUAAUAAUAAUAAUAAUAAUAAUAAUAAUAAAAACGACGUCGUUUUAACUUAUAGAAGCAAAACGACGUCGUUUUAAGUUUCAGAUCAAAAGUCCUCCCAGUUAGUCCUUUUAAUGACGUGGCACUGUAUGAUUGGAUUACAUAUCCACGUAGGCGCAAGUGAAACUCACGCAUGGAGGUUGCAAAAUCGGAGGUCAUAUUUGUUCAGGUUUUGAAUAGUUAAAGGUCCUAUUUGUGUACUAUUAAAGUUUAAGGUCAAAGUUAUAAUUUGGUGUAUAUUAUGUCAUCUAUAAAUGGAGGACGCUAUUUCGUCAUUUGAAUUUGUUUAAUAUAUAAAGCAUAGAGUAUUAGCUAAGUUGCUACUUGUAUUCAAAAAGUUAAUUAAGCUAGUUAUACAAUGUUAAUAAUAUUAACAAAUCAACUAGUUGUGGUUAGUUGACUCACUUAGAUGGUCGUUAUAACCUACUCUAGCUUCUCUCAUUAGUAUAUAUAUAUACCUCUAGUGUAUUGUAAUUGAUUCAUUAUAUUCACUACUUAAUAACAAAAUCAUUCUUCUCUUCAAUCUUCUCUUCUGUCUCUUUCUGCAUUGUCUCUAAUUGUGUAAUAUGGAGAUAACUUGUUUGAUCCUUAAUUAGUUCAUGGUAUCAGAACUAUGACACGACUACUCUUGGUUUAUUUCUCUAACUGAAUCAUUCUAGAUUCAGCAUUUCAUCUGGUCAUUUACUUUUUGAUUUGUGAUUCCACAAAUUUUCUUUUCCUCUGUAUCCGAUUUCUUAAAUUGUUCAACUUCAAGAACAUUAAUUCUUGCUUGUUAUUUGCUUCUGCUAAUUCUGGAAGAUAUAAAUUCUUCUGCAAGAACAAAUGGUGUGAAUGUGAAUGGAAUGUGUAAUGGUGUUCCUCAAUAUGAUGGAUUGAAUGUUGGAAAUGUCCGACUAGCCACAAUCAAAGUCAAGCUGUAGGCAUUGAUUAUAAUCAUCCUCUGUUCUUUGUCCUUUUGAUGUUAAUGGAAUUCAUAUUAUCUCAUUUCAACUAACAACUAUUAAAAGUUUCUUAAUCUGGUUUUGGUCUAUGAGAAUUUCUCUUUUAGGUAGGAAAACGCUUGGCUUAGUUGAUGGUUCUUGUGAUAAGGAAAAAUUUCCGGAAUACAUGUAGAAUCACUGGAAAAGGGUCAAUGCAAUUGUUUUAUCUUGGUUGUUAAAUGCCGGAGCUAAGACUCUUCUUGAUAGUGUGAUGUAUGUAUCUAGUGCACAGAUGGUUUGACAGCAUAUAUUAGAAAGGUUCAAUAAGAUAAAUGGUUCAAGAACAUACAAUCUUUAUAAAGAGAUUGCUACAACUUCUCAGGGUACUUCUGUUUUAGUUUAUUUCUCAAAACUGAAAAAUCUUUGGAAAGAAUUUGAGACUCCAAUUCUAACUCCUGCUUGUAACUGUGAAAAGUCCAAGAAAUUUAUUAUGCAUUUGCAGAAACUGAAAUUAUUUCAGUUCUUGAUGGGACUUAAUGAAUCAUAUGGAUAAGAAAGGAGUCAGCUAUUAAUGAUGACUUCAUUAUCUUCUUUGAAUUAAGCAUAUGUCAUGAUAGUCAGCGAUGAAAGACAGAAAUAAAUUGCUUCUAUAGCUGGUGUUCUUGGUGCUAAUCCCAUUGCCAAUAUGGAUAAUUUGGAAUUUUCUACGUACUCUAGAUCUAAUACUAGGAGUAACAAUAAUACUUAGAGGUUCAAGAAGGUGUUUAGCAAUUAUAACUUGGUUUGUGAAUUCCGUAAAUUCAAGGGACAUAAGUAAGGAACAACGCUAUAAAUUUAUAGGUUAUCCUGCUGAUUUUAAGUCCAAGAAAAAGUUAUAAGGCAAUGGGGUUGCAUAUAAUGUAGUUAGUGAUUAUAGGCAAGAAGAUGGUUGUAAUCCUGUGAAGUAUGAGAGUAGGUUUGGUUAUGGUUAAGGAAAGAUGGCUCCAACAAUGAGAUACUCUCUAGCAACUGCUGGUUCACAAAAUAUUGUUGGUGAGGGGUCAAAAAGUCAUGUUGGAGAUGCUUAAUUCAGUCAUGUGGGAGGCGCCCAAAGGAUCAAUAUGAGCAAAUCAUCAAACUACUUAAUCGAAAGAAUGUCGGUCCUUCUGUGGCUGCUGAUGCAAUAGGUAAAACAACAUCAAGAGAGGAAAUACAUAUGACCAUGCUAACAUCCAAUAGUUAAGAGUGGAUUAUUGACACUAGUACUACUAAUGAUUUGGCAUCCACUCUAGAGUGGCUAAAUAAGAACUCUAUAACAAAGAUUGAUAAUCCCAAAAAAGUCUACUUACCAACUGGUGAUGUAGCCUUUGCUACACAUACAAGCACUAGCUUAAUAUCUCAGAAAGCUAGUAGUUUUGAUGUGUUUUAUGUUCCUCAAUUUAGUUAUAAUCUUUUGUCUAUUUCACAACUAACAAGGGAGUUUUAGUGUUUUGUUUUCUUUUUCCAUGACUUUUCUCUUUUUCAAGAUCUCUUCACUGGAAGGGCUAAGGAUAUUGGUAAAAAAAGGGAUGGUCUUUAUCUUCUGCUAAAUCAUCAUGAUUCAUAUGGAAGGAAUCUCAGUUUAGCUGUUCAGAAUUCCCAAGAAAAUUGCAAAGAAGAUAUUAGUUUUCGGUAUGCAAGACUAGGACAUAGUUCAUCUGUAGUACUAGAUAAGCUAUUUCCAUUUACUUUGCAUCAUAUUAAGAAAGGCUUAAACUAGUGUGUGUCCUUAUUUAAAACAAACUUGGAUGCCGUUUCCUUCUAGUAGUAUACAAGGUGUGACUUGUCUUGAAUUAAUACAUGUAGAUCUUUGGGGACCUUAUAAAACGAUUAUAUUUGAUGAAACUAAGCUUUUCUCAAUUAUAGUAGAUGACUAUUUAAGGUUUGUAUGGAUAUACUUGUUGAAACAUAAGUCUGAUAUGUGUGUCUGCCUUCAGUAUUUAUUUACUUAUAUCAGGAACUAGUUUAACAAUGUUGUCAAGAUAAUUAGGACUAAUAAUGGAACAUAAUUUGUAAAUAUUGUAUGUGACACUAUGUUCAAACGGUUAGGCAUAGUUCAUCAAAGAAGUUGUGUCUAUAUACCUUAGCAAAAUGAUGUAGCUGAGAGAAAGCAUAAACACAUCUUAGAGGUCACUAGAGCUCUAAGAAUACAGCCUUGUAUACCUAUUAAAUUUUGGGGACAUUGUGUCAGUUUAUCUAAUCAGCAGAUUGACAAGUACAACUACUAAUAAUGUCGCUCCCUUCUCAAGACUACAUAAUAAACAACCUAAUAAGUCAUUUAAGGGUGCUAGGUUGUUUCUAUUAUGCUAAAAUCUCACUCAGCCUGAUAAAAUAUUAUCUAGAGUACUACCUGUAGCACAUAUAGGAUAUUCCAGUGUGCAAAAGGGAUAUGUUCUACUAGAUGUCACUAAUAACUUAUUUUUUGUCAACAAGGAUAUUUUCUUUAAAGAGGAUAUGUUUCCAUUAAAUAAAGCAGACAACACCUACAUAUCAGUCUUCUUAGAUACUACUCAAGGCAUUCCACUUGCAGACUCUUGGUUGAGUCCAAACAUUGAGUUUACUAGUGUCUUUCCUAUUAGUACACAUGUGACAAUAGAUGAUUAGCCUAAUACUAGCGGUGUAGUUUAAGAAACACAAAUAGAGGAUAAUAUGGUUCUUAAUGGCAUGCAGGAGGUGGUAGAUGAAGUUUAUGCACUAGUUUCUCAAAAUGAGGACUGUAGAGUUGUUCAUGAGGAGAAUCAAGUGGUAGUUCCUGAGAAUAGAAGAUCUUUAAGGGACAAGAGGACACCUGUGUAGUUAAAGGAUUUUUUGCCACUAAAUAUUCAUGAUAGUCCACAGUAUCAUAUGGAUUGGUAUCUUAGUUACAGGCUUGAGUAACAACUAUCAAGAAUUCAUUGUUGCUUUCUCUAACUCAGUAGAGCCUAGUUCUUACUCAGAAGCAGCCAAAGACCCUAAGUGGAUUCAAGCUAUGAAAGAGGAGAUACAAGCUUAGGAGAAUGAUCACAUAUGUGAUCUUGUUACAUUACUCAAGGUAAAAAGGCUAUAGAUUGCAGGUGGAUAUAUAAGAUCAAAUAAAAAGCAAAUGGUGAGAUAGAGGGGUUGAAAGAAAGAUUGAUUGCCAAAGAAUAUAGUCAAAGAGAAGGUAUUGAUUACCAUGACAUUUUUUCUCCUGUGGUUAAAAUGGUGACUGUUAGAACUAUUCUAUCACUUGUAGCAGUUUCUAAAUAUCCUAUCCAUCAUAUGGAAGUUUACAAUGUCUUUCUUCAGGGUCAUUUGCAUGAUGAUAUAUAUAUGGAGUUGCCUCAAUGAUUUUACAGUCAGGGGGAGACGAGAACAAUAUACAGACUUGUUAAAUCCUUACCUAGACUUAAACAAGCUACUAGGUAAUGGACCCCAAAGUUAUUUGAGGCUUUAAUCAAGCUGAAGAUUCAUCAGAGUCCGUAUGAUCAUUCUUUGUUCAUUAAAAAGUCUGUUAAAGGGAUUGUAGUUUUUUUGGUACAUGUUGGUGAUACAUUAGUGAGCGGUGAUAACUUGGAGUUGAUUGAAGAGACAAAAAUUGCACUCAAACAAGCUUUCAAGAUUAAAUACUUGGGGAGAUUAUGUAUUUUCUUGGCAUUGAAUUUGCUAGAUCAAAGGAAGAAAUCAUAAUGCAUCAAAGAAAAAUAUUCUUUGGAGUUGAUUUCAGAAACUGGAUUAGCAGUUGCUAAACUAGGUUGAAGUCCUAUAGAUACAAAUGAGAAGCUUACUUCAAGGUUAUAUCAUGAACAGGUUGGGAAAAUGGAGGAAGAUCGUCUGAUUGAUCAAGCCGCAUAUCAACAGCUUAUUGGGAAGCUACCAUAUCUAACUGUCACAAAACUUGAUAUAGCUUUUAAUGUAUAGACCUUGAGCCAAUUUUUACAACCACCUAAGAGAUCACAUAUGUGAGCAGCUUUAAGAAUUGUAAGGUACAUUAAAUAUCAACUAGGACAUGGUUUGUUGUUAUCCAUCAACAACAACACUCAGGUUACUGCCUACUGUGAUGCAGACUAGGCAACAUGUAUAUUGACAAGAAUAUCUUUUACAGGUUUUAUUAUUAAGAUUGGUGAUUCAUUGGUGUUCAGAAAAUAAAAAAGACAAACAGUUGUAUCUAGAAGUUCUACUGAGUUCAAGUACAGAAGUCUUGCAACUACAGUUGCAGAGUUAACUUGGUUACUUGGAUUGUUAAAGAAAGUAGGAGUGAAGUUACACAACCUGUGAUUAUAUAUAGUGACAGUAAAGCAGAACUACAAGUAGCUGGUUAUCCUGUAUUACAUGAAAGGACAAAGCAUAUAGAGAUUGACUGUCACUUUGUGAGGAAAAAAAGUUUAAUAAGAACUGAUUACAACAAGGUACAUUGCAACCAAAGAUCAACCAACUGACAUAUUUAUAAAGGGAUUAACGAAGGUGCAAAAUGAGUAUCUGAAGUCCAAGGAGUUCUUGACAUUUUUCUACCUCCUAGCUUGAAGGGGAUCGUUAAUUAUAAAGCUUAGAGUACUAGCUAAGCUGCUGGUUGUAUUCAAAAAGUUGGUUGUUGGUUAUACACUGUUAAAAAUAUUAACAGUGAUCAGUUAGUUGUGAUUAGAUGACUCACUUAGAUGGUAGCUACAAACUACUAUAGCUUUUCUCAUUAGUAUAUAUACACCUCUAAUGUAUUUUAAUUUAUUCAUUCUAUUCACUACUCAAUAACAAGAUCAUUCUUCUCUUCCAUCUUCUCCUCUGUCUCUUCCUACAUUCCCUCUAAAUGUAUAACCACGGAGAUAACUUGUUUGAUCCUUAAUUAGUUCAGGAUUUCAAUCUCUUUACCCAUAAAGAUAGGAAUAAGGUAUGAAUACAUCCUAUCUUCUCCAUACAUGAAUUAUAAUGGACGUAUUGUUAUUGGACACACAAAACCAUAAAGAAAGAGAAACAACACAACAGUUGCAUAUAGCAAAUCAGUGAUAGAGUGGCAAAAUAGACAGUGAGGAAAAAAUAAAGAGAACGAUAUUGUAGUGAGGUGGAAAAUUAAAUGAAGAUUCUUUCUUCUAAGUGUGUAGCGGUCUUUAAAUAUGUUAUUUAGAUUAUGAAGUGUAAAAUUUUUGUUGUAGUGAUAUCAAUCACUCCUCUCGUGUCCUGAUUUUACUGUUAGAAGUGUUUUCCAUAUAAAAAUUAUCAGUGUCCUUUUGUCUCAUUUUAUUAUCGUUAAUUACCUUAUUUUGGUGCUUCAUAAUUAUUGUAGUUAUUUUUCUCAACCAUAUUUGUGUUGGUUUAUAUGACAGACGUAAUAGUCAUACAUAUAAUUUCGUGGUCUCGAUUUACUUUGAAAAGUUUAAAGGCAAACAAAGCUUAAAAAAGAUUUUGAAACUUGUAGUCAUAAAUAUAUCAUAAAUUUAUAAUUUCAAAAAUAUCAUAAUAUUUGUGGGACUAUAAAAUUGAGUGAACUGAAAAACCUAAGUAGUAGUCAGUCUUUUUAGAAUGAGCUUUAUGUUUCCACAUGAUUGGAACCAAGGAAGUAAUGAGUGAACAACUUAUUCAUUAGAACCAAACUAUGUAGUGUAGAAACAAACAAGCUGCCUCUUCUGUAUUAGAACAAAAAUCUACAAUUCUUACCUUGACAAUUAACUGAUUAAAAAAAAUUGAGAUGUUUUUCUAUCUUUUCAUGGCUUCUAAAGAGAUUGCUACAACUUCUCAGGGUACUUCUGUUUUAGUUUAUUUCUCAAAACUGAAAAAUCUUUGGAAAGAAUUUGAGACUCCAAUUCUAACUCCUGCUUGUAACUGUGAAAAGUCCAAGAAAUUUAUUAUGCAUUUGCAGAAACUGAAAUUAUUUCAGUUCUUGAUGGGACUUAAUGAAUCAUAUGGAUAAGAAAG